GGGUUUUUAGUUUAAAUAGAACGUCUCCCUUCAAAGGAGGAGGUGCCUUUGCGGAGAAACUCG
rnacentral:tRNA from 1 species